CAAAGCGGACACGAAGAAACGCCACACCCCCAGAGGUAAUGCUGAAAGUACGUCUAAUAGACAGCUACUGUGGUUGAGAGGAAAGGUGUCUUUUUAUUGCUUCUAGAGACGUUGAAAGUGUGACCUGAGCACCUCAUAAUCAUGUGAAAAAGCCACUCAAAAACUACCAUUUGAAUGGAUGGAUGCAAAUAACCUCCGUGUAUUCUACGAAGAUGUUUAAUAAUAAAUAGGUUUCGUUAUAAGAGAAUGUGUGUCACUUCGUCUCUUCCCUCACCCCCGAGACUUAGUGACAGUUAUUUUUGACUUUUCCAAAUAUACUAUUUGCCUAGAAAAUGUGUCUAUUAAAUAGCGUAUUGAGAAAU
rnacentral:sRNA from 1 species